AUUUUAGUGUUGUAAUCGGUUUUUUUAAAUUCCAUCAAUUUUUAUCUUAAGUAAUUUAGGCCAUUUCUAUAAAUCUUCUAUCAUUUUUUUAGCGUCCAUAAAAAGACAUUUUGACAUAAAAAGACAACGAAAUUUCAGUGAAAUGAAAGUAAACAUGAACCUUAACAAAGAGCGAAACUUGCUUCCGUCUAAAAGCGCUUUUACAGUAGAUAAGAUAAGGCCGAGCAGAGCUGUGUAACAUGUGUGGGUACUCCACUCAUUUCUAUAAAUAUUGCUGCAGAGUACAGUUCGUUGAUAAGAACGAGCAUCCACCGAAAUACCAUCCAGCAAUAAAGUGAAAAGUGUUUACAGUCACUAGAUAACAAAUCUAUGUUGGUGUAAAUCGGUACACUGCCGCUUAGCUGGUGAUAAUUUUUACCAAGAGUUUGUUAUUCAUCAAUUUUGCGUGCCUGGAAAAUCAUUUCAUCCGAAACCUCAAACAACCCACCCGUGGAAGCUAACAGUAGGAGAAACAAUUUCCUUUGUUAAGUCAGUGUUUUCAUUCUUUUUUGAAGAUUCUAACUUACGUGGGCUCCCAGGCGGCUGCAACAGGCGUUGAGAGGUGCGGCGCUCGAGGCAGUAGGACACCUCCUGUCAUUCCCCAGCGGGUUGAAGGAGGCUAUGGCGACCUUACAUG